ACCAAGCUUUGUUAGGUGAGGCUCCUAUACGAACAGAGGCCACUGCCCAGAAAUAUCGAGAGAUGCCCAUGGGUAGAACAGGAAUUGUCGGAUUAAGGCUUUUCUUAAGGUGGCUAAGGGAUGUAACCUUUACGUUGUAUAGUGCUGAAGCUCGACGAGGAGGGCUAGAA
rnacentral:sRNA from 2 species